GACGAACGCUGGCGGCGUGCUUAACACAUGCAAGUCGAACGGAAAGGCCCUGCUUUUGUGGGGUGCUCGAGUGGCGAACGGGUGAGUAACACGUGAGUAACCUGCCCUUGACUUUGGGAUAACUUCAGGAAACUGGGGCUAAUACCGGAUAGGAGCUCCUGCUGCAUGGUGGGGGUUGGAAAGUUUCGGCGGUUGGGGAUGGACUCGCGGCUUAUCAGCUUGGUGGUGGGUUAUUGGCUUACCAAGGCUUUGACGGGUAGCCGGCCUGAGAGGGUGACCGGCCACAUUGGGACUGAGAUACGGCCCAGACUCCUACGGGAGGCAGCAGUGGGGAAUAUUGCACAAUGGGCGGAAGCCUCAUGCAGCAACGCCGCGUGCGGGAUGACGGCCUUCGGGUUGUAAACCGCUUUCGCCUGUGACGAAGCGUGAGUGACGGUAAUGGGUAAAGAAGCACCGGCUAACUACGUG
rnacentral:rRNA from 1 species